rnacentral:ncRNA from 2 species
AGAGUUAAAAGUACGUGAAAUUGCUAAAAGGGAAACAUUUGACACCAGUAUUUGGCGGGGGGAAAUCAGCCUCAGAAACUGGGGUGCACUUUCCUUCUGCCAGGUCAACAUCAGUUUUGCCUGCCGUAAAAAAGCCUAGAGAAGGUAGGUGCUUAGCACUGUUAUAGCUCUGGCCGAUGCGGUGGGCGGGACUGAGGACUGCGGCAUAUGCUUUUGGCUGGCUUCGCGGCAGUUGUGUUUGGGGGGUCUAUGGACAGCGUGCUGACCAUUGGCCUACUUGGAUGCACCUGCCGUACAAGUACAAAUGUGCCUAGGAUGUUGACGAAAUGGUUUUAAACGACC